UGGGCUAUGUUUGGCUAUGCCAUAAGACAUGAGAGGGCAUAUCUAAGAAAGACGCUUGAGACAAAGGCCAAGGAUUGAGAGUUGCCCUACUCGGGCGAAGCAAAGGCCAAGUGCACGUGCAUGAGGCGAUGUCAAGCUUGAGGAUAGGACUGUGCAUGCGAUGGCAAUGCUCAGGCCAAGGCAAGGGACAAGUAUGUCCAUAGCCACCCCCAGGAGCGCAUAUGGAUGAGAUCCACGAAUUAAAGGUGCGCCAGAAGAGUUGCUUAUACGUUGGCCAUGUCAGCCGACAUGUUGAAGGAGCGGCACCAAAGGGGGCAAGCCUCUGAGGCGAGCUUCCCACAAGCACAGGAUCGUGCUAAAGACCUGGGAAAUGAGGAAGGCUGGCCCAUAGUUGGGGGAACCAUGGGCACCGCACGGGCAGAAUUGUGUGCCGCUGACGCGUUGAAAAAUGAGCCCGUGACAUCACGCUUCAUCGCACGACAUGAAUACUAAAAGAAGGAAAACUUCCCUAAAUCAUCUCGUAGCCUCUCGCCCAUAAGUAUGGCGUGCUUUACACUCAUUAAUAACACACUACUUAACAUGGAUUUUAGACACCCUAGGAUAUUUUAAACCAGCUCUGAUACCAAGUUUGUCAUGACCCAAGGCUACCCCCUAGUUGCAACACGAUGCUUAAGGUCACAAGUGACUCCAAGCCGUGAAUACUAAAAUAAAAUAACAAAAUAUUGUGUGAAAGUCAUUAAAU
rnacentral:lncRNA from 1 species